rnacentral:rRNA from 1 species
GUGGGGAAUAUUGCACAAUGGGCGCAAGCCUGAUGCAGCCAUGCCGCGCGUGUGAAGAAGGCCUUCGGGUUGUAAAGCACUUUCAGCGGGGAGGAAGGCGAUAAGGUUAAUAACCUUGUCGAUUGACGUUACCCGCAGAAGAAGCACCGGCUAACUCCGUGCCAGCAGCCGCGGUAAUACGGAGGGUGCAAGCGUUAAUCGGAAUUACUGGGCGUAAAGCGCACGCAGGCGGUCUGUCAAGUCGGAUGUGAAAUCCCCGGGCUCAACCUGGGAACUGCAUUCGAAACUGGCAGGCUAGAGUCUUGUAGAGGGGGGUAGAAUUCCAGGUGUAGCGGUGAAAUGCGUAGAGAUCUGGAGGAAUACCGGUGGCGAAGGCGGCCCCCUGGACAAAGACUGACGCUCAGGUGCGAAAGCGUGGGGAGCAAACAGGAUUAGAAACCCUUGUAGUCC